rnacentral:rRNA from 1 species
GACUCGUCACACUAUCAUUAACUGAAUCCAUAGGUUAAUGAGGCGAACCGGGGGAACUGAAACAUCUAAGUACCCCGAGGAAAAGAAAUCAACCGAGAUUCCCCCAGUAGCGGCGAGCGAACGGGGAGGAGCCCAGAGCCUGAAUCAGCAUGUGUGUUAGUGGAAGCGUCUGGAAAGGCGCGCGAUACAGGGUGACAGCCCCGUACACAAAAGCGCAUGUGCUGUGAGCUCGAUGAGUAGGGCGGGACACGUGGUAUCCUGUCUGAAUAUGGGGGGACCAUCCUCCAAGGCUAAAUACUCCUGACUGACCGAUAGUGAACCAGUACCGUGAGGGAAAGGCGAAAAGAACCCCGGCGAGGGGAGUGAAAAAGAACCUGAAACCGUGUACGUACAAGCAGUGGGAGCACCCUUUGGGGUGUGACUGCGUACCUUUUGUAUAAUGGGUCAGCGACUUAUAUUCUGUAGCAAGGUUAACCGAAUAGGGGAGCCGGAGGGAAACCGAGUCU